UAUAGCCUGUGGAAGAGCUUAACCAUCUGGCAGGGAAGACAGACAUGGGCAGAUAGGUGACAACUCAGAGAAAUAAGGGGAGCAAUGAAAACACACCCAAAGGCAACACAGAACGGGGAGUGAUUCAUUGUAUGUAAGGUGCCGAUGGAAAGACCUCCGGGUGUUAAAUGACUGACUGGACCAGGUGGGAAAACAGGGAAGAAGUUCAAACAGAAACCGGAGCAGAGGUCAGGUAUGGUGGACACAAGGGUGUGCUGCCCAAUAUCCCCUCAGGAAAGGACGUGCUGCCAGGCUGCAGGAAGUGUGGUGGUCAGGCCGACCACAGCUGUCUGCUCCUUCGUGGUCUGCCUCAGGGGCAGAGAGCCAUCUCGCCAAGGUUAAGCCAUUCCUGGAGUGGUUUGCACUGGUAACUAAGUGAGACAGGGGUAUCAAGGCCUGGCUGUUUUGACCUGAUCCUGGACACUAUGACAAGGAAUAGUGGCUCCCGCGCUCACUGUGGGGCUGGCCAUGGCUUUGCCAGUCCUGCACUCCAUGCAGGUUCUUCCUCUGCCUGAUCCUGCUUCCUCCUUCUUCCCCUCACAGCCUGUCCCCUGUGACUUAUUUCUGAGGCCCUGGGUGAGAGAGGCUGUAUCAAAACUGAGUGUGACAUGGAGAGACUGAGGCCUCAGCAGCACAGCCACCAGUGACAAGAACAAAGAACCUGUGAUAUGGAACUCGACCAGGCGUUUUCCAAUGAUUUGGAAAAAGCAGAACACAAACAGCGACACCAUCCACGGGUUCAGGAAGCUGACAGAACUGCUGGCAUCUCUGCGGUCGGAUGAGUCCACAUGCUUAGG
rnacentral:lncRNA from 1 species